rnacentral:misc_RNA from 1 species
GUGAAUCAUCGAAUUUUUGAACGCAAAUUGCACUCUCUUCGGAGAGUAUGCCUGUUUGAGGGUCAGUAUUAAUAAAAAUCGGUGUGUUGCUUCUUUGUGACGCUCCGGAGUUUGGGUCAUCUUAAUAUCCUUUAGGUUUUAAGAGGCUUAAAAUUGACUUUUUUUCCGCAUUUUAGUUGUACAUAAUUUCUUUUUUUUUUUCGUUUUUCUUAUUCCUCAAAUUCCAAUUAGUUCC